GAUGAACGCUGGCGGCGUGCUUAACACAUGCAAGUCGAACGAAGCACUUUAUUUGAUUUCCUUCGGGACUGAUUAUUUUGUGACUGAGUGGCGGACGGGUGAGUAACGCGUGGGUAACCUGCCUUGUACAGGGGGAUAACAGUUGGAAACGGCUGCUAAUACCGCAUAAGCGCACGGCAUCGCAUGAUGCAGUGUGAAAAACUCCGGUGGUAUAAGAUGGACCCGCGUUGGAUUAGCUAGUUGGUGAGGUAACGGCCCACCAAGGCGACGAUCCAUAGCCGACCUGAGAGGGUGACCGGCCACAUUGGGACUGGGACACGGCCCAAACUCCUACGGGAGGCAGCAGUGGGGAAUAUUGCACAAUGGGCGAAAGCCUGAUGCAGCGACGCCGCGUGAGCGAAGAAGUAUUUCGGUAUGUAAAGCUCUAUCAGCAGGGAAGAUAAUGACGGUACCUGACGAAGAAGCACCGGCUAAAUACGUG
rnacentral:rRNA from 1 species